GUGGGGAAUCUUGCGCAAUGGGCGAAAGCCUGACGCAGCCAUGCCGCGUGAAUGAUGAAGGUCUUAGGAUUGUAAAAUUCUUUCACCGGGGACGAUAAUGACGGUACCCGGAGAAGAAGCCCCGGCUAACUUCGUGCCAGCAGCCGCGGUAAUACGCAGGGGGCUAGCGUUGCUCGGAAUUACUGGGCGUACAGGGCGCGUAGGCGGACAGUUUAGUCAGAGGUGAAAGCCCAGGGCUGAACCUUGGAAUUGCCUUUGAUACUGGCUGUCUUGAGUACGGGAGAGGUGAGUGGAACUCCGAGUGUAGAGGUGAAAUUCGUAGAUAUUCGGAAGAACACCAGUGGCGAAGGCGACUCACUGGCCCGUUACUGACGCUGAGGCGCGAAAGCGUGGGGAGCAAACAGGAUUAGAUACCCUAGUAGUCC
rnacentral:rRNA from 1 species